CUCUCACUUUCUAGGGUUUUAGCUCUCUCUGCAUUCUCAGAAAUCUUUGAACACUGACUUCUCUCUCUCAUUUUACUCCCAUUUAGCUGUAAUUCAGCUCAACUUUUGUCUUAGGGAGGCCCAACUGUUAAUUUUGCAUGAUGCAAAAUUUCAAUUUGUUUCUGUUUUGUUGUUGUUGUGGAUAAACAUAUUUCAAUUUGACAUAAGCACCUGUAUGAAUGGCUUUAUCUACUUAUUGUAAUUGAAAAUUGAAGUCUUCUGCUACGUUUAUCUUUCAGGUUGUUUUUUCCUAUUAUUUUUGGUUUCUGUGAAGAUUGGGGAAGACUAAAGGCAAGAAAUGGAACAUCUUCUGUUGUGGGAGGCACAACUGUUAAUUUUACAUGAUGCAAAAUUUCAAUCAAUUUCGGUAAAAAUGGCUUCCAUGGCACAACCCUCACCUCUGAAGCGGCGGGAGGCUUCUGCAUCAAGAGAAGAUGAUAAACUUAUCAUAAUUCCUUUAGGGGCUGGUAAUGAAGUCGGCCGGUCUUGUGUGUACAUGUCCUACAAAGGGAAAACUGUGUUGUUUGAUUGUGGAAUUCACCCGCAUAUUCGGGCAUGGCUGCUUUGCCGUACUUUGAUGAGAUUGAUCCUUCCACAAUUGAUGUCCUCCUCAUUACUCACUUUCACUUGGAUCAUGCUGCUUCCCUACCUUACUUUCUUGAGAAGACCACAUUCAAAGGCCGAGUCUUUAUGACUUAUGCAACAAAGGCCAUCUAGAAGUUGCUUUUGACGGAUUAUGUGAAAGUGAGCAAAGUUUCCGUUGAAGAUAUGUUGUUUGAUGAGCAGGACAUAAAUGCCUCAAUGGAUAAAAUUGAGGUUAUUGAUUUCCAUCAAACAGUAGAGGUUGAGGGCAUUCGAUUUUGGUGCUAUACUGCCGGUCAUGUCCUUGGUGCUGCUAUGUUUAUGGUUGAUAUUGCCGGCGUUAGAGUCCUCUACACUGGUGAUUAUUCACGUGAAGAAGACCGGCAUCUCCGUGCUGCUGAGACCCCACAGUUCUCGCCUGAUAUAUGCAUUAUUGAAUCCACGUAUGGUGUACAGCACCAUCAGCCUCGGCACAUCAGAGAGAAGCGAUUCACUGAUGUUAUCCAUUCAACCGUCUCUCAAGGGGGUCGUGUCUUAAUUCCUGCUUUUGCACUCGGCCGUGCCCAAGAACUUCUCCUGAUCCUUGAUGAGUAUUGGGCAAACCAUCCUGAGCUCCAAAAUAUUCCUAUUUAUUAUGCUUCCCCACUUGCAAAAAGAUGUUUAUCUGUAUAUGAGACAUACACCCUUUCCAUGAACGAUAGGAUCCGCAAUGCGAAGUCAAAUCCCUUCAUAUUCAAGUACGUAUCACCACUAAAGAGCAUUGAAAAUUUCAAAGAUGUAGGCCCGUCAGUGGUGAUGGCAAGCCCUGGUGGUCUUCAGAGUGGGCUGUCAAGGCAGCUAUUUGAUAUGUGGUGCUCUGAUAAGAAAAAUGCAUGCGUUAUUCCAGGGUAUGUGGUUGAAGGGACACUAGCUAAAACAAUCAUCAAUGAACCGAAGGAGGUAACUCUUAUGAAUGGACUCAGUGCUCCUCUCAACAUGCAGGUCCAUUACAUUUCAUUCUCUGCUCAUGCAGACUCUGUUCAGACAACUGCAUUUUUGGAAGAGCUGAGGCCUCCUAAUAUAAUCCUUGUUCAUGGAGAAGCUAAUGAGAUGGGGAGGCUCAAACAGAAGCUGAUGACCCAGUUUGCUGAUCGUAACACCAAAAUCCUCACCCCAAAGAAUUGUCAGUCUGUUGAAAUGUAUUUUAACUCACAGAAAAUGGCAAAAGCUAUUGGAAGGCUUGCCGAGAAGACCCCUGAAGUUGGUGAAAGUGUCAGCGGUUUACUGGUAAAAAAAGGCUUCAGUUAUCAAAUAAUGGCUUCUGAUGAUCUUCAUGUCUUCUCACAGCUGUGCACAGCAAAUGUCACUCAACGAAUUACCAUCCCAUUUGCUAGUGGCUUCACUGUGAUUAAACACCGGCUAAGGCAAAUAUAUGAGAGUGUAGAGUCUUCAGUGGAUGAGGAAUCUGGGGUGCCAACAUUGCGAGUGCAUGAUCGGGUGACAGUGAAGCAGGAUACAGAUAAACACAUUUCAGUACAUUGGUCAUCAGAUCCUAUAAGCGACAUGGUUUCAGACUCCAUUGUGGCUCUUAUUUUGAAUAUCAACCGAGAAGUACCCAAGGUAGUUGUUGAAUCUGAGGACGUAAAAACUGAGGAAGAGAAUGGGAAGAAGGUGGAAAAGGUCAUUCAUGCACUUCUUGUAUCACUCUUUGGGGAUGUGAAGCCUGGAGAAAAUGGCAAACUAGUGAUUAGUGUUGAUGGGAAUUUGGCACAGCUUGAUAAACAGAGUGGGGAUGUUGAGAGUGAAAAUGAAGGUCUCAAGGAAAGAGUAAAGGCUGCAUUUCGUCGAAUCCAAAGUGCGGUGAAGCCAAUCCCUCUUUCUGCAACUUAGCUGCAGUGCUUCGAUGUUUUUGUUUCUGUAUUUUGAGUUACUUUUGAAUUUUUUAAGCUAACAGAUGAAUACUGAACAGUGAACAGUAACACUACCAACUGACAAAUGCAGUAACUGUUUCCUUCCUUUGAUCAUCUAUGUGUCAAUCUACUUGGCUAGUUUUCUGUUUAGAUGUUUACAGUGUUUUGACCUUCGUGGUUGUUUCUUUUUAAUGAACGAUUACCCAAAUUUUAUUA